ensembl:lincRNA
UGCCUGUUCGCAGUGUGUCUCCGGGUGCACUUCUGGAAAGCCACACAAGGAUGUGCACACUCAAGGUUGUUGUGCAAGGACUCGGACUCUGAUACGCAGACCUGUCUGGGCAGGGCUCCGAAGGCAUUCUGGGGUACGGUCCCUGAGCAAGGAGUGGAUCCAGCGUGCAAGGUUGAACAUGGGAACCAAAGAGGCGGGGCAUCUACUGAGAACAGAUUCUCCUUGAGUGCUGGGAUGCUGUGGAGGUGGUGUGGCAUUCCCAGAACCACCCACUCCAGGCCUGGAGGUGACCCCAGGUGCACAAUAAUAUUAAACACUACCCUGAAGCCAGGCUAUUCUGAAGAGGGACAGGGACCCACUAUCUCCUCAGAGAAAUUCAUCUACUUGAAAUCUUCAACCUAAUACUGAUCAAUGGAAUUGCUGAGUCAGAGACCAAAGAAAACUAACUUUCAUAUACGAGGUAGCAAAGGAAAAUGCAAAUAAAGACAAGUGUUUAAUUUUUGAACUCUAACCAAUAGCCCAUAUCUAGCAACAUAUCCAGCCUAUACAUUCAACGAGCAUUUUACAGCUGAGCAAUUCACAGUUGGUGUAAUAGAGCUAAAGGGACAUGCAAAUGUAAGCCAGCUUUGGCUUUGGCCCUCAUGGAGAUUAAAGUUGAAGGUAAAGAUAUACUUUCAGAGAAGUGACAAAUCAGAGACAAUGGGUCCACUCUGGAGUUUUAAAACAGCUUUCUAUACUACUUAAAAUAGCUUUAUAUAGAAAUUUUGCUGAUUGUCCCCACAACUGUGAGUUCUGCUGGACCAACUCUUGGUACUCAAGAAAGAAAGGAAAGCUUAAGCAGGGGAUGCAACCAUGUUUCCACUGAAUUUGAAGAAGAAACUGCCUCCUGGCACUUUGGGUUUUCAUGCUACUAAGCCAACAAGCAAAAGAAGUUAUUGGUCUGCUGCGUGUGCUGAUUUCUAUUAGGUAAGAACUAGAAUUAUAUAAUGGCAGUAAAGAGGGGUAUAUGGGGCUGGGGCUGGGAAUGGCGCUCAGGG